rnacentral:rRNA from 1 species
GUCUAUAGCCAUGUUACCCUGAACAAGCCCGAUCCCAUCUGAUCUCAGAAGCUAAGCAGAGUCAUGCAUGGCUAGUACUUGGAUGGGAGACCACCUAAGAAGACCAGGUGCUGUAGGCA